GAAGUAAUCCUUUUACCAUUCUUUUAUUUAUCUUUAGAGGAAAAUGAUUGCCUUUCUCCCACUUACAACCACGAGCCAUAAAGGUGCGUUUUCCAACUAGCAUAUUUCUCUGCACAUAUUGAAUCUAGUAACAUCUCUGGCUUUCUUCCUCAACUCUGUCAGACUGUAUCUGUCUCUUCUCUGCCGCUUUCUUAAGUCCUACGCUUCUCUCUCUUCCCGAAUAAGCUCGCUUCUUUCCGUUCUACAAAACACACCGACAUCUCUCUCUCUCUGAAAAUCAGUGCUCUUUCGUUACUCGGUAUGUUCCGCACUUUCUUUCUCACAAUGUCCAUUUUCUCUAAAGACCUCUAAUUAAUCUCGUUUCGAAUACCUCUUGGUUCCUGGUCUGCCCGCAGCUCCAGAAGUGGUAUUCUUGGCAACACCCCAAGUCCCCAGAUGGAGAAAGAGCCUCUGCUGCCGUAUAUGAGCCCAAGAAGAAAGCUAACACCACCGCCGCCGGUUCUAGCACCACUUCCAGAGCACGACGAGAUCUCUCUUCCUCUAACCCCUUCUGAGCUCAAAGACCGCCUCAUCUUUGGCCCUUCUUCCUCUUCCCCACAAGACGCUUCACCUCUGGUGGAUGCCUUGACCCUCUCUCUCGGCUCCCCAAGACCCUCUUCUUCUUCAACUUCUAUAGACCUCCGUACCCCGCAAGACCCUCAAUCACAAUCGCUGUUACAGUCCCCACAAGGUUGGCUCCUCGACCCCAAUAAUCCAUGGACCAAGAUCAAUCUUCACCGCUCUAAGACCGCGCCAGCCAUGGCGGUAAUCAACGAAAUUAACCACCCCUCUGUGCCUAGCCCGCCAUUUGGGUCCCAAUCGAUUGUUCGCCAAGCGUGUAUUCUUCUUAUGUUGUAUUUGUUCUUUGGAGUGAUUAUAUAUUGGUUCAACAAGGACGAUUUCUCGGCGGAUGAGACCCACCCGGUAGUGGAUGCUCUGUAUUUCUGCAUUGUGACGAUGUGCACGAUUGGCUAUGGUGACAUUACGCCGGCAAGCACAGCAACCAAGUUGUUUUCGAUAAUGUUUGUGCUGGUGGGUUUUGGUUUUGUUGAUAUUUUGCUUACUGGGAUGGUGAGUUAUGUGCUUGAUUUACAGGAGAGUUACUUGUUGAGGACCGUGAAGAAUAAGGGUGAGAGGGAUACCCCAAGAUCUUACAUAGUUGAUGUGAAGAAAGGGAGGAUGAGGAUUAGGAUGAAGGUGGCAUUGGCAUUGGGGGUUGUGGUUCUUUGUAUUGGGAUUGGUGUUGGUGUAAUGCAUUUUGUGGAGAGGCUUUGUUGGUUGGAUUCGUUUUAUCUCUCAGUUAUGUCGGUCACGACAGUUGGGUAUGGUGACAGGGCAUUCAAGUCCUUGUCAGGUCGUAUUUUUGCUUCAAUUUGGUUGCUUGUUUCAACACUGGCGGUUGCUCGAGCCUUUCUGUACUUGGCCGAGGCAAGAGUGGAUAAGCGGCAUAGAAUGAUGGCAAAGUGGAUUCUUGGUCAGGAUAUGACUGUUUCUGAGUUUCUUGCUGCUGACAUUGAUAACAAUGGAUUUGUGAGUAAAUCAGAAUACGUCGUAUACAAGCUCAAGGAGAUGGGAAAGGUAUCGGAGAAAGACAUUAUGCAGAUCUGCAAUAAAUUUGAUAGGCUAGACACCGGAAACUGUGGAAAGAUAACUCUUGCCGAUCUCAUGGAGAAUCAUCAUUGACAUUAAAGUACCCUUGGUAAUGUUAUUCUUAUAGCACCAGCGAAAGGCAGGAGAGAAAUACCAUAUGUUUUCUAUUCAAGUUGCAUAAGAUGAUAGUGGAACGUCACUACCUUAUCAGUUGUUCCACUUGCAAGUUUGCACUAUUUACCCUGGUCAUGGAUGCUGGAGUGCUGGGUUUUAGUUCGAGUUUAUUCAACCAAAAUGACAGCAUAUGAAGUAUUGAUCGUUACAAUUGCAUGAUAAAAUACCACCUCCCGGCAGUUUUGUUGCCCACUCAUGUGGUAAGAUGGUGAACAUUACCAUCUGCCAACUUGCUCCUAUCUGUCAAGGUAAUGCGUGGCGGAUCAGGGGUUUGGAUAUGCGGAAGAAUUUUUCCCAAUGGAAGCUAUAUUUGGUUUUGUUCAAGUUUUGUUGGGAGUAUCUUGUACAAGGGUUGGGAUUGAUUCUUUUGCAGAGACCUGGGAGAUAAAAGAUUAAGCUCAAUACUUCAACGGAAAGUGUUUUUGCAUUUGGUGGAAGGCAUCUUGAAGGGUAAUUUCAAGUUAUAUCUUGGUUUCAGAACUGUUGCUGCCAUCAUCUCUUUCAGUGUGGUUGUGAUCCUGUAUGUGACAUGGAUCGUGUAAGUCCUGUAGACAGUAUCUACUUUUUGAAAUGUGACGGGAGAUAUCACUUCAGAGUUGAGAAAUUUGACUUCCUAACUUACAUUGCAAAUUUAAACGUGGAAAUCGUUACUCUCACGUGCAGAUCGAGUUCUAGCAGUAUAGAUUUUCAGCAGAAUCCAUGAUUACCUGCACCAGUUUCUCCUUUUUGAUUGUUUUCGAGUGCGGGCUGAGUUUGCCUGUCGAUGAUCAUGAGGUUCGGGUCCUAGUAUUAAAAGAUAUCGUAUCGUAUACAAUGUUGUCGGUAACUUGGUCGGCCCACCGCUUCUGUGAGAUCGAUCCCUUCCACAGUUUUUCCACGAUCAAAUCUCAGCUUCGAUUUUUGGACGAACCAUGUUCUUCUCUUUUUGGCACUUCUCACGAGAAAGUGAAGUAUUUCACAAGAACCGAUAUAUAAUAGAAAGAUGUAAAUUUUAUUAUUUAAUUUAUAUUACUUUUACGACUUUUAUGAACAGUAUGGACCCAAAUCAUUUGAAUUUGGCCAAUGUAUAUAUUCACUUUAUGAAAUCAUAAAAAAUUGAUCUUAGUAUGCA